UACGGAGGGUGCAAGCGUUAAUCGGAUUUAUUGGGCGUAAAGGGCGCGUAGGCGGGCAUAUAAGUCGGUUGUGAAAUUCCAGGGCUCAACCCUGGAACAGCAACCGAAACUGUAAGUCUAGAGGGUAGACGGGGAAAACGGAAUUCCACAAGUAGCGGUGAAAUGCGUAGAUAUGUGGAAGAACACCCGUGGCGAAGGCGGUUUUCUAGUUUAAACCUGACGCUAAAGCGCGAAAGCAAGGGGAUCAAAC
rnacentral:rRNA from 1 species